CCUUCGAUAGCUCAGUUGGUAGAGCGGUGGACUGUAGAGUUAUAGGUCGCUGGUUCAAAUCCGGCUCGAAGGAUUG
rnacentral:tRNA from 1 species